GAUGAAUGCUGGCGGCGCGCCUAACACAUGCAAGUCGAGCGGAAAGGCCCUUCGGGGUACUCGAGCGGCGGGCGGCUGAGUAACGCGUGGGAACAUGCCCCAAAGUGAGGAAUAACUGCCCGAAAGGGUAGCUAAUACCGCAUAUGAUCUUCGGAUUAAAGGAUUUAUCCGCUUUGGGAGUGGCCCACGUACGAUUAGGUAGUUGGUGAGGUAAAGGCUCACCAAGCCUACGAUCGUUAACUGGUCUGAGAGGAUGAUCAGUCAGACUGGAACUGAGACACGGUCCAGACUCCUACGGGAGGCAGCAGUGAGGAAUCUUCCACAAUGGGCGAAAGCCUGAUGGAGCGACGCCGCGUGCAGGAUGAAGGCCUUCGGGUUGUAAACUGCUUUUAUAAGUGAAGAAUAUGACGGUAACUUAUGAAUAAGCACCGGCUAACUACGUGCCAGCCGCCGCUGUAACA
rnacentral:rRNA from 1 species